rnacentral:rRNA from 1 species
GUCCACGCCGUAAACGAUGCCGGCUCGGUGGGUGGGUCCCGUUCAGGGACCUGGCUGCCUUAGCUCACGCGGUAAGCCGGCCGCCUGGGGAGUACGAGCGCAAGCUUAAAACUCAAAGGAAUUGACGGGGGCCCGCACAAGCAGCGGAGCGUGUGGUUUAAUUCGACGCAACGCGAAGCACCUUACCCAGGCUUGACAUGCAGCUGCACCCGCCUGAAAGGGCGCGCCUUCGAGGGUGCUGCACAGGUGCUGCAUGGUUGUCGU